ACGGACGUUUGAGCAUGUGCU
rnacentral:miRNA from 14 species